UGGCUCAGUUGGUAGAGCAUUGCGUUUGAAACGUCUGGUUGUGGGUUCGAUUCCCAC
rnacentral:tRNA from 1 species